GAUGACAUCUAGUCAUUUGUUAAUUUUAAUUAUAAUUCUACAACAUUUUAGUUAGUUUUUAGGAAUAUUGCAUGGUCAAAGAGAAGAAUUUAUGAAGAAAUUGACAUAUCCAAGAGUUUGAAGACAUAAGACCAAAAUGAACAAAAAUACUUAAAAAAAUAAUGAAGUUUUGAUGAAGCAUCUUCUGUUUUUCUCGCGUCGCGGCACUUAUUUCUUCAUGGCGCGAUUCUACAAUUGGACCG
rnacentral:lncRNA from 1 species